GGGUUGUGAGGUUAAGCGACUAAGCGUACACGGUGGAUGCCCUGGCAGUCAGAGGCGAUGAAGGACGUGCUAAUCUGCGAUAAGCGUCGGUAAGGUGAUAUGAACCGUUAUAACCGGCGAUUUCCGAAUGGGGAAACCCAGUGUGUUUCGACACACUAUCAUUAACUGAAUCCAUAGGUUAAUGAGGCGAACCGGGGGAACUGAAACAUCUAAGUACCCCGAGGAAAAGAAAUCAACCGAGAUUCCCCCAGUAGCGGCGAGCGAACGGGGAGGAGCCCAGAGCCUGAAUCAGUGUGUGUGUUAGUGGAAGCGUCUGGAAAGGCGCGCGAUACAGGGUGACAGCCCCGUACACAAAAAUACACAUAUUGUGAGCUCGAUGAGUAGGGCGGGACACGUGGUAUCCUGUCUGAAUAUGGGGGGACCAUCCUCCAAGGCUAAAUACUCCUGACUGACCGAUAGUGAACCAGUACCGUGAGGGAAAGGCGAAAAGAACCCCGGCGAGGGGAGUGAAAAAGAACCUGAAACCGUGUACGUACAAGCAGUGGGAGCACGCUUAGGCGUGUGACUGCGUACCUUUUGUAUAAUGGGUCAGCGACUUCUCUGCGGUAGCAAGGUUACCCUAAUAAGGGAGCCUCAGUGAAACCGAGUCUUAAAUAGGCGUUAAGUAGUACGGAAUAGAACGGAACCGCGGUG
rnacentral:rRNA from 1 species